rnacentral:lncRNA from 1 species
UCAUAUCUUCUUUCAUUGCAUCCAAGAAAUGGAAAUGAACCCAGAGGAAGUGAUGAAAACCAAAGCAAAAACCCAAGCCACCUUUUAUUCAAAAGAUUUCCAACAAGUGCCAAAUCAAUGAACCCAAAAUGGCCAUUAGAAAAGUUCAUCUUUUGUGAUAAAUAUAGAAAACAAGAUAUUAGAGAUGAAACUUAUUUUCAAACUACUUUUGGCAUUUUAAAUUUAAGUUAAAAGGUACUCAAAUCAACUAUAUAAUUAAUUUCAAAUAAUGUAAAGUUUCCAAAAAUGUUGAAAACUUUAUGAGUGGUUGGAAAUAUUCCAACUAACACUCUAGUAUUUUUCAAACUAUUUUAGGAAUA